CAGAAGAAAGUGAUGAAAAGUCGAAUUCUGAUGGUGUGACUGACAACACAUCCAUCAACGUUACUGAAGAACCAAGUACUACUGAGCCCAUUACAGAGAAGAAGCUGAAAAGGCGGACUUUUAGGGUUCCCCUGGAGGUAGAAACAAGCUUUCAGUUUUAAAAGUUUUUUCACUUGCAUGCUAGAAAGUUAUAUGGUGGUGAGUUGUGUGUUUCACACCUCUCUUGUUGCUUAUUUCUAUUGUUUAUAUUUAUAGAUUGUUGAGAAGACAGUGGGACCUGGAAUGCCUCUGUCCGAAGAAUAUCUAGCUCAAGCUAAAAGAAAAUUAGAAGAAUUGAACAAAAAGGAUGCAGAGCGAAGA
rnacentral:lncRNA from 1 species